CAUCGUGAGGUGAAAUCUGAAGGAAGCUGGAUGCGGGGGACAUACUAACCCGUGGGCAAACCUCUGGUCUGACGAACAGAAAUCACAUAGGAGGCUAUGCAUGAGGGUAAGGCUGCCAUCCAAGCCGAAGUCCAAUAACUACACGGAAUCAUGCGUGGUAGAUGUGGCAGAUAGAUGGAGGGAAAGAAA
rnacentral:ncRNA from 1 species